UACGGAGGAUGCGAGCGUUAUCCGGAUUUAUUGGGUUUAAAGGGUGCGUAGGCGGCUUUUUAAGUCAGCUGUGAAAUUUUGCAGCUUAACUGUAACAGUGCCGUUGAUACUGGGGAGCUAGGAUUUGGUUGCUGUGGGUGGAAUGUGUGGUGUAGCGGUGAAAUGCUUAGAGAUCACACAGAAUAUCGAUUGCGAAGGCAGCUCACAAAGCCAAGAUUGACGCUGAGGCACGAAAGUGUGGGGAUCAAAUAGGA
rnacentral:rRNA from 1 species